rnacentral:rRNA from 2 species
AACGUAGGGGGCCAGCGUUGCUCGGAAUUACUGGGCGUAAAGGGUCCGUAGGCGGUGUGGCAAGUUGGUAGUGAAAUCUCUGGGCUUAACCCAGAGGCUGCUGCCAAAACUGCCGUGCUAGAGUGUGAGAGAGGCGAGUGGAAUUACGGGUGUAGCGGUGAAAUGCGUAGAUAUCCGUAGGAACAUCCGAGGCGAAGGCGGCUCGCUGGAUCACAACUGACGCUGAGGGACGAAAGCUAGGGGAGCAAACAGG